GAGGGUAUAGCUCAGUGGUAGAGUGUGUGCUUAGCAUGCAUGAGGUCCUGGGUUCAAUCCCCAGUACCGCUA
rnacentral:tRNA from 1 species